rnacentral:RNase_MRP_RNA from 1 species
GAAGCGUUUCUUUCGGAGCAAUACAGACGGAGUGCACGAUGAAGGCAUCGGGGCGACUCAAGGAAUAGGCUCAUUUGAAGAUCAGCUCGCUCCGUUUUGAGAGCGGCUGGAUGCUCUGGGGAAAGUCCCCGGGUCAUUGGUAGAGAGUACCACGCCUCGAGUGAAGGCGGGACCCCCCUAUAAAAGUGUCCUGUGCAGUCACGAAGAGAGGAGUCGAACGGAUGGAGCGAUGGCUACGAAAGUAGGACAGAGCUUCCAGAG